ensembl:snRNA U2 U2 spliceosomal RNA
AUCACUUCUCAGCCUUUUGGCUACAAUCAAGUGUAGUAUCUGCUAUCAUGAGUUUAAUGUCUGAUAGAUAUGUCCUCUCUCUGAAGAAAACAUAUUACAAGGAUUUUUGGCACCAGGAGAUGGGAUAGGAGCUUGCGCCAUCUGCUCCGUGCAUCGACCUGUGUUUGUAGUAUUCCCAGGAACGGUGCACCUUUU